rnacentral:rRNA from 1 species
CAAGACAACUUUACGGAGUUGACGAUUGACGGAGCGAAGCGACGUCAAAGCGUUCAUUAAAGUCGAGUUGGCUUAGGGAUACGUUCGUUGGGUAGGGGAGCGUUCUGUAAGCCUGUGAAGGUGUGUCGUGAGGCAUGCUGGAGGUAUCAGAAGUGCGAAUGCUGACAUAAGUAACGAUAAAGCGGGUGAAAAGCCCGCUCGCCGGAAGACCAAGGGUUCCUGUCCAACGUUAAUCGGGGCAGGGUGAGUCGACCCCUAAGGCGAGGCCGAAAGGCGUAGUCGAUGGGAAACGGGUUAAUAUUCCCGUACUUGGUGUUACUGCGAAGGGGGGACGGAGAAGGCUAUGUUGGCCGGGCGACGGUUGUCCCGGUUUAAGCGUGUAGGUGUGUGUUCCAGGUAAAUCCGGUUCACUUUAACACUGAGGCGUGACGACGAGGCACUACGGUGCUGAAGCAACAAAUGCCCUGCUUCCAGGAAAAGCCUCUAAGCAUCAGGUAACAUCAAAUCGUACCCCAAACCGACACAGGUGGUCAGGUAGAGAAUACCAAGGCGCUUGAGAGAACUCGGGUGAAGGAACUAGGCAAAAUGGUGCCGUAACUUCGGGAGAAGGCACGCUGACACGUAGGUGAAGUGAUUUACUCAUGGAGCUGAAGUCAGUCGAAGAUACCAGCUGGCUGCAACUGUUUAUUAAAAACACAGCACUGUGCAAACACGAAAGUGGACGUAUACGGUGUGACGCCUGCCCGGUGCCGGAAGGUUAAUUGAUGGGGUCAGCGCAAGCGAAGCUCCUGAUCGAAGCCCCGGUAAACGGCGGCCGUAACUAUAACGGUCCUAAGGUAGCGAAAUUCCUUGUCGGGUAAGUUCCGACCUGCACGAAUGGCGUAAUGAUGGCCAGGCUGUCUCCACCCGAGACUCAGUGAAAUUGAACUCGCUGUGAAGAUGCAGUGUACCCGCGGCAAGACGGAAAGACCCCGUGAACCUUUACUAUAGCUUGACACUGAACAUUGAGCCUUGAUGUGUAGGAUAGGUGGGAGGCUUUGAAGCGUGGACGCCAGUCUGCGUGGAGCCGACCUUGAAAUACCACCCUUUAAUGUUUGAUGUUCUAACGUGGACCCGUAAUCCGGGUUGCGGACAGUGUCUGGUGGGUAGUUUGACUGGGGCGGUCUCCUCCUAAAGAGUAACGGAGGAGCACGAAGGUUGGCUAAUCCUGGUCGGACAUCAGGAGGUUAGUGCAAUGGCAUAAGCCAGCUUGACUGCGAGCGUGACGGCGCGAGCAGGUGCGAAAGCAGGUCAUAGUGAUCCGGUGGUUCUGAAUGGAAGGGCCAUCGCUCAACGGAUAAAAGGUACUCCGGGGAUAACAGGCUGAUACCGCCCAAGAGUUCAUAUCGACGGCGGUGUUUGGCACCUCGAUGUCGGCUCAUCACAUCCUGGGGCUGAAGUAGGUCCCAAGGGUAUGGCUGUUCGCCAUUUAAAGUGGUACGCGAGCUGGGUUUAGAACGUCGUGAGACAGUUCGGUCCCUAUCUGCCGUGGGCGCUGGAGAACUGAGGGGGGCUGCUCCUAGUACGAGAGGACCGGAGUGGACGCAUCACUGGUGUUCGGGUUGUCAUGCCAAUGGCACUGCCCGGUAGCUAAAUGCGGAAGAGAUAAGUGCUGAAAGCAUCUAAGCACGAAACUUGCCCCGA